GAUCAUGGCUCAGGAUGAACGCUGGCGGCGUGCUUAACACAUGCAAGUCGAACGAAGCACUUAAGAAUGAUUCUUCGGAUGAAUUUUUUUGUGACUUAGUGGCGGACGGGUGAGUAACGCGUGGGUAACCUGCCUCACACAGGGGGAUAACAGUUGGAAACGACCGCUAAUACCGCAUAACCCGCUAGGGCCGCAUGGCCCGGACGGAAAAGAUUUAUCGGUGUGAGAUGGACCCGCGUUGGAUUAGCUAGUUGG
rnacentral:rRNA from 1 species